rnacentral:rRNA from 1 species
CGGAUCGGAGUCUGNAACCCGACUCCGUGAAGCUGGAUUCGCUAGUAAUCGCGCAUCAGCCAUGGCGCGGUGAAUACGUUCCCGGGCCUUGUACACACCGCCCGUCAAGCCAUGGGAGCCGGGGGUGCUUGAAGUGCGUCGCCGUGAGGCGCGCCCUAGAGCAAAACCGGUGACUGGGGCUAAGUCGUAACAAGGUAAC